rnacentral:lncRNA from 1 species
GAUCUCAGGUGCUCCGGAAGGGUAAGCAGAUCCUGCUCCACAUGUAGCACUCGUUAUGUUGCUCUAGUUAUUACUAAUCCAAUAAAUAGUCUAAUGUGAGAGGUCACAUUCAUGAAAAGGGUGAAAUGUCAAUUUUAUAAGAAACCUGAGUUACAUGUACCUGUAUAGGUAAUUUUAAUGAAACAUACAAUCUGAAAACUUCAACCCC